rnacentral:rRNA from 1 species
UACGUAGGGGGCGAGCGUUGUCCGGAAUUAUUGGGCGUAAAGAGCGUGUAGGCGGUUCGGUAAGUCUGCCGUGAAAACCCAGGGCUCAACCCUGGGCGUGCGGUGGAUACUGCCGGGCUAGAGGGUGGUAGAGGCGAGUGGAAUUCCCGGUGUAGCGGUGAAAUGCGCAGAUAUCAGGAAGAACACCCGUGGCGAAAGCGGCUCUCUGGGCCGGUACUGACGCUGAGGAGCGAAAGCGUGGGGAGCGAACAGG